rnacentral:rRNA from 1 species
AUUGAACGCUGGCGGAAUGCUUUACACAUGCAAGUCGAACGGCAGCACGGGGCAACCUGGUGGCGAGUGGCGAACGGGUGAGUAAUACAUCGGAACGUGCCCAAUCGUGGGGGAUAACGUAGCGAAAGUUACGCUAAUACCGCAUACGAUCUACGGAUGAAAGCGGGGGAUCGCAAGACCUCGCGCGAAUGGAGCGGCCGAUAUCAGAUUAGGUAGUUGGUGGGGUAAAGGCCCACCAAGCCAACGAUCUGUAGCUGGUCUGAGAGGACGACCAGCCACACUGGAACUGAGACACGGUCCAGACUCCUACGGGAGGCAGCAGUGGGGAAUUUUGGACAAUGGGCGCAAGCCUGAUCCAGCCAUGCCGCGUGCAGGAAGAAGGCCUUCGGGUUGUAAACUGCUUUAGUCUAGGAAAAAGGGGUGCGAGGUUAAUACCCUCGUGCUUUGAUGGUACUGGAAGAAUAAGCACCGGCUAACUACGUG